rnacentral:rRNA from 1 species
GACGAACGCUGGCGGCGUGCCUAAUACAUGCAAGUUGAGCGAUGAAGUUUGGUGCUUGCACCAAUUUGAAGAGCAGCGAACGGGUGAGUAACGCGUGGGGAAUCUGCCUUUGAGCGGGGGACAACAUUUGGAAACGAAUGCUAAUACCGCAUAACAACUUUAAACAUAAGUUUUAAGUUUGAAAGAUGCAAUUGCAUCACUCAAAGAUGAUCCCGCGUUGUAUUAGCUAGUUGGUGAGGUAAAGGCUCACCAAGGCGAUGAUACAUAGCCGACCUGAGAGGGUGAUCGGCCACAUUGGGACUGAGACACGGCCCAAACUCCUACGGGAGGCAGCAGUAGGGAAUCUUCGGCAAUGGACGAAAGUCUGACCGAGCAACGCCGCGUGAGUGAAGAAGGGUGUCGGAUCGUAAAACUCUGUUGGUAGAGAAGAACGUUGGUGAGAGUGGAAAGCUCAUCAAGUGACGGUAACUACACAGAAAGGGACGGCUAACUACGUG